rnacentral:pre_miRNA from 1 species
CAAGUACUCCCUCUGUCCGGAAUUACUUGUCAUGAAAAUGGAUGUGUCUAGAACUAAAAUACAUCUAGAUACAUCCAUUUCAAUGGCAAGUAUUUUCGGACGGAGGGAGUACAAG